GCAAGUCGAGCGAGAAAGCACUUCGGUGCGAGUACAGCGGCGGACGGGUGAGUAACGCGUAGGAAUCUACCUGGUAGUGGGGGACAACUUGUGGAAACGCAAGCUAAUACCGCAUACGCCCUAAGGGGGAAAGCGGGGGAUCUUCGGACCUCGCGCUAUUGGAUGAGCCUGCGUAAGAUUAGCUAGUUGGUGGGGUAAAAGCUCACCAAGGCGACGAUCUUUAGGGGGCCUGAGAGGGGGAUC
rnacentral:rRNA from 1 species